AGUGGGGGGGUUAGAUCUCUGAGGAUUAAGAGGAGGAAGCAGACAUGUUUUUUUUUUUUGUUUUUUUUUUAAGUAAAGACUCCUCUUUCUGAGGAACCAGGUCAGGUCAGUGUGCUCUAAUAUUUGCUCAGAGGCAGUUUGUACAAGGCAUCCCACCACCAGGAUGGGAGGCAUCGAGGGGGUGGUGGAGCCAGGCAGCCAAUGAGGAGGAAGAGGAGGAGGAGGAGGGGAGCUCUCCAUUCAGACUGAUGUAGUAACAAACAUUUCCAAACCGUUUGUGUGCGCUCAUGUGUUUGUUCUUUUAAUCUGCACUUUGACUCAGAGUGCAGCCAGGAUUUAUGGGCUGUUUGUGCUCUUGUGUGCAGAGAAAAAUGCAAAUGUAAACCACACUUGGAUAAAUGUAUGACCCAAAGGAUUUGGGAGCAUUUUAUAUAUUUGCUGUGUUUAUCUUCCACUCUUCUCCUUUGUCUCAGUGUUUCGCAUUCUUUUCUCCCUCUGUGGCUGCAGACCUGAUAAAAUGAAGCCGUCGGCUGUCGACCGCCGCUCAGCGCCAAACCACGCAGAAAUUCUACAGAACCGGCGUCCAACGUAAACACGCUGUCAGGACUCGUAAGAGCUCAUGGGUGAAGACCGAGGCGGGGCUGGACCAGGACCAAGAGGGACAUCCUGGACCAAACAGAAGAGAGGACAAGGACACAGCAAACAGCCUCAGUAGAUGAACACGGUGUGAUGUCACAUACCUGAAGUGCCGACCUGUCAAGUCUGACACGUCACACGCCUGACAUCUGGAGACACUUCUGACGACUGUUGAAGAAUCAAGGUCUUGGCUCAGUACCAGUGACUAACUAACCAGCGACACC